UUUUAUGGAGAGUUUGAUCCUGGCUCAGGAUGAACGCUGGCGGCGUGCCUAAUACAUGCAAGUCGAGCGAACGGACGAGAAGCUUGCUUCUCUGAUGUUAGCGGCGGACGGGUGAGUAACACGUGGAUAACCUACCUAUAAGACUGGGAUAACUUCGGGAAACCGGAGCUAAUACCGGAUAAUAUUUUGAACCGCAUGGUUCAAAAGUGAAAGACGGUCUUGCUGUCACUUAUAGAUGGAUCCGCGCUGCAUUAGCUAGUUGGUAAGGUAACGGCUUACCAAGGCAACGAUGCAUAGCCGACCUGAGAGGGUGAUCGGCCACACUGGAACUGAGACACGGUCCAGACUCCUACGGGAGGCAGCAGUAGGGAAUCUUCCGCAAUGGGCGAAAGCCUGACGGAGCAACGCCGCGUGAGUGAUGAAGGUCUUCGGAUCGUAAAACUCUGUUAUUAGGGAAGAACAUAUGUGUAAGUAACUGUGCACAUCUUGACGGUACCUAAUCAGAAAGCCAUGGCUAACUACGUGCCAGCAGCCGCGGUAAUACGUAGGUGGCAAGCGUUAUCCGGAAUUAUUGGGCGUAAAGCGCGCGUAGGCGGUUUUUUAAGUCUGAUGUGAAAGCCCACGGCUCAACCGUGGAGGGUCAUUGGAAACUGGAAAACUUGAGUGCAGAAGAGGAAAGUGGAAUUCCAUGUGUAGCGGUGAAAUGCGCAGAGAUAUGGAGGAACACCAGUGGCGAAGGCGACUUUCUGGUCUGUAACUGACGCUGAUGUGCGAAAGCGUGGGGAUCAAACAGGAUUAGAUACCCUGGUAGUCCACGCCGUAAACGAUGAGUGCUAAGUGUUAGGGGGUUUCCGCCCCUUAGUGCUGCAGCUAACGCAUUAAGCACUCCGCCUGGGGAGUACGACCGCAAGGUUGAAACUCAAAGGAAUUGACGGGGACCCGCACAAGCGGUGGAGCAUGUGGUUUAAUUCGAAGCAACGCGAAGAACCUUACCAAAUCUUGACAUCCUUUGACAACUCUAGAGAUAGAGCCUUCCCCUUCGGGGGACAAAGUGACAGGUGGUGCAUGGUUGUCGUCAGCUCGUGUCGUGAGAUGUUGGGUUAAGUCCCGCAACGAGCGCAACCCUUAAGCUUAGUUGCCAUCAUUAAGUUGGGCACUCUAAGUUGACUGCCGGUGACAAACCGGAGGAAGGUGGGGAUGACGUCAAAUCAUCAUGCCCCUUAUGAUUUGGGCUACACACGUGCUACAAUGGACAAUACAAAGGGCAGCGAAACCGCGAGGUCAAGCAAAUCCCAUAAAGUUGUUCUCAGUUCGGAUUGUAGUCUGCAACUCGACUACAUGAAGCUGGAAUCGCUAGUAAUCGUAGAUCAGCAUGCUACGGUGAAUACGUUCCCGGGUCUUGUACACACCGCCCGUCACACCACGAGAGUUUGUAACACCCGAAGCCGGUGGAGUAACCUUUUAGGAGCUAGCCGUCGAAGGUGGGACAAAUGAUUGGGGUGAAGUCGUAACAAGGUAGCCGUAUCGGAAGGUGCGGCUGGAUCACCUCCUUUCUAA
rnacentral:rRNA from 1 species